rnacentral:rRNA from 1 species
GAUGAACGCUGGCGGCGUGCCUAAUACAUGCAAGUCGAGCGAACAGACGCUGAGCUUGCUCCUUUCUCGUUAGCGGCGCACGUGUGAGUAACACGUAGGUCACCUCCCUAUAAGACUGGUAUAACUUCGAGAAACCGGAUCUAAUACCGGAUAAUAUUUCGAUCCGCAUUGUUCGUUAGUGAAUGAUGGCUUUGCUAUCACUUCUCGAUGCUUCUGCGCCGUAUUAGCUGGUUGGUAAGGUAACGGCUUACCACGGCAACGAUACGUAGACGACCUGAGAGGGUGAUAGGCCACACGGGAAGGGAGACGCGGUCAAGGCGCCUAAGGGAGGCAGCAGUAGGGAAUCGGACGCAAGGGGCGAAAGCAUGACGGAGCAACGCCGCGUGAGAUAUGAAGGUGUUCGGAUCGGAAAAAUCGGUUAUGAGGGAAGAACAAACGUGGAAGUAACUGUGCACGGCUUGACGGUAACUAAUCAGAAAGCCACGGCUAACUACGUG